AUACUUACCUGGCGCCGGAUCAGCCAUGAUCAACAAGGUGGCGGUCCCGGGUCGAGUCGGACCCAUUGCACUAUUGGGUCAUGAUGAAUCCCGCCACUAUUCCAAAACGGAACAGAUGGGGCGUGUAAUUUUUGGUAGCGGGGGGAGCGUUCGCGCUUUUACCCCCU